UACGGGAGGCAGCACUGGGGAAUAUUGCACAAUGGGCGAAAGCCUGAUGCAGCUAUGCCGCGUGUAUGAAGAAGGCCUUAGGGUUGUAAAGUACUUUCAUCGGGGAGGAAAAAACAAAACUAAUAAUUUUAUUUCUUGACGUUACCCGAAAAAGAAGCACCGGCUAACUCCGUGCCAGCAGCCGCGGUAAUACGGAGGGUGCUAGCGUUAAUCAGAAUUACUGGGCGUAAAGAGCACGUAGGUGGUUUUUUUAAGUCAGAUGUGAAAUCCCUGGGCUUAACCUGGAACUGCAUUUUGAAACUGAAAUACUAGAGUAUCGUAGAGGGAGGUAGAAUUCUAGGUGUAGCGGUGAAAUGCGUAGAUAUCUGGAGGAAUACCUGUGGCGAAAGCGGCCUCCUAAACGAAUACUGACACUGAGGUGCGAAAGCGUGGGGAGCAAACGAGGGAUUAGAUACC
rnacentral:rRNA from 1 species